rnacentral:tRNA from 1 species
CAAAUUAGAGCUUGUUAGAGUAUUUCAUUUACAUUGAAAAGGUAUUAAAUUUUUAAUUAAUUUGA